AUGGCGGAGAUUGUGAUUUUUCUAGCCAUUAAAAAGAUCGGAAUUGCCUUGGCAAAGGGAGCGGCAGACCAGGCUAGCGUGCAGUUUGCGAAGUAUGGCACACAACUACUAGAGCUGCAGAGCACCAUGGGCCGUCUUGCUAGUGAGCUUCGUGUAAUUCAUGAUGUUCUCUGUCAAAUGGACAUUCGAAACCGCAACAAUCAAGUAUAUGAGGGUUGGUUGGAAGAGGUACAGAAAGUAGCACAUGUAAUGGAUGAGUACUUGUAUCUAGUUGGUCAAGAACAUGAUAUAGGUUGUUGCUUUUUCCUGAAGAAAGGGGUUAAAAAGCCAAGAUCUCUGCUUUCCUUCAACCGGUUAGCUCUCAAGGUGAAGGAAACAGAGAAACACCUCACCCACCUGUCAGAGAUAAAAAACCGAUGGGUUACCCUGAUAAAUAAUGGGGAUACUAACAGCUCAAAUUACAUUGUCAAGAGAUCCCAAGAUCUAGCAAAUAUUUCACGCUCCCUAGAUGAAGAAGAUCUAGUGGGGGUGGAUGAAAACAGAGGAAAACUCGAGCAGUGGUUGGCAGGUGAUGAUUUCGAAUGCUCUGUGAUAGCUCUGCUCGGAAUGGGAGGUCUUGGUAAAACUGCUUUAGCUGCAAAUGUUUACAAGAAGGAGAGGGAUAAAUUCCAAUGUCACGCUUGGGUCUCCAUCUCUCAAACUUAUUCUAGAGAACAUGUCUUGAGGAUUAUAAUCAAGGAAGUUUGUAAAGAUAAUGCUAGUGUGUUAUCUAGCACUGUGGCUAUGGACAUUGUGUGCCUUGAAGAGACACUGACAAAAUUUCUGGAGCAACGAAAGUAUUUGAUCAUAUUGGAUGAUAUUUGGACUCUGGAAGCAUUUGAUGAUUUGUCCAGGAUGCUUACUCAUAAUGGUAAGGGCAGUAGGUUGAUCAUCACAACAAGAGAAGGCGCUGUUGCUGCACAUGCCUCUCGAGGACAUACCAUAACAAUGGAAGCUUUACCCGAAGACAAGGCAUGGGAUCUAUUUUGUAAGAAAGCCUUUCCAAGAGAAACAAAUCAUGAAUGUCAUGCAGAGUUGAAGCCUUUGUCCGAAGAAAUAGUUAGCAAGUGCAAAGGCUUGCCUCUUGCUGUUGUGUCCGUUGGUAGCCUCUUGUGUGUGUGUGAGAAAACCAUGGAAGAAUGGAGAAGAGUAAAUAACCAACUGAGUUGGGAGAUAAAUAAUAAUUCGAGGCUUGGCCACAUAAGGAAUGUUUUGCAUCUGAGCUUCAUCUACCUUCCAACACACUUGAAAAGUUGUUUCCUAUACUGCAGCUUAUUUCCAGAAGACUAUCUUUUUACAAGGAAAAAGCUUUUACGGUUAUUGACAGCAGAGGGAUUCGUUAAGGAGAGGGGUAGAAACACAUUAGAGGAAGUUGCAGAAGGCUAUUUAAAGGAGUUGAUUGACAGAAAUAUGCUACAACUUGUUGAGAGGAACUCAUUUGGUAGGAUGAAGAAAUUCAAAAUGCACGAUAUCUUGCGUGAGUUGGCAGUGGAGUUGUGCCAGAAGAACUGUUUUGGUGUUGCUUAUGGUGGUGAACGCAAGGGCACUCUUGAGAUGGAUGGACGCCGAUUAGUACUCCACAAACUAAUGAAGGAUAAUCCUGAGCCAGUUUAUGGUAUACACCAACUUCGUACUGUCAUUACACUAGACAAUAGCAUGCCAUCAUUCACUCUACUACCUCUGCUAUGUAAGGAGUCAAGAUAUCUGACGGUGUUAGAAUUAAGUGGUCUACCCAUCGAGAAGGUUCCAGAUGCUAUUGGAGAUCUUUUUAAUCUCCGCCAUUUGGGUUUGCGCCAUUCAAAAGUGAAGAUGCUCCCAAAGUCUGUAGAGAAGCUUUCUAAUUUGUUGACACUGGACCUUUGUGGAUCUGACAUACAUGAGCUGCCUAGUGGGGUUGUGAAACUGAAGAAGCUCAGACACUUGUUUGCUGAGAGAGUAAUUGAUGCAGAAGGGAGAGAUUUUGAAUGUCGGAGUGGCAUGUGUAUCCCCAAAGGUCUUGGAAAUCUAAAAAACCUACAGACUCUUCAAGCAUUGGAAAUACAGGAUGAGUCUGCUAGACAUUUAGGUGAGCUGAGGCAAAUGAGAAGCUUGAGGUUAUUGAAUGUGAAGGAAAUCUACUGUAGACGCAUCGGUGAGUCUCUAAUUCAGAUGAGGUAUCUGUCCAACCUAGAUGUGAAUUCAAGUGAUGAGAACGAGGUUCUCUUGCUGAAUGCCCGCCUGCCAAGCCUGCAAAGGCUACGUCUGAGAGGACGACUAGCAGAAGGGGCGUUGGACGAGUCUCCUCUCUUCCAAGCUGAUGGGGGCCAGAAGUUGUAUUCAUUGGUUCUAUCUUGGUCAUAG
rnacentral:rRNA from 1 species